rnacentral:misc_RNA from 1 species
GAUGAAGAACGCAGCGAAAUGCGAUAAGUAAUGUGAAUUGCAGAAUUCAGUGAAUCAUCGAAUCUUUGAACGCACAUUGCGCCCGCCAGUAUUCUGGCGGGCAUGCCUGUUCGAGCGUCAUUACAACCCUCAGGCCCCCGGGCCUGGCGUUGGGGAUCGGCGGAGCCCCCCGUGGGCACACGCCGUCCCCCAAAUGCAGUGGCGGUCCCGCCGCAGCUUCCAUCGCGUAGUAGCUAACACCUCGCGACUGGAGAGCGGCGCGGCCACGCCGUAAAACACCCAACUCUUCUGAAGUUGACCUCGAAUCAGGUAGGAAUACCCGCUGAACUUAAGCAUAUCAAUAACCGGAGGA